UGCUAUAAUAAUCCAGACAAGAAAAAAUAUCAAUAACAGGAAGCAAAGCAUCUAUUUCAAAUGCAACCGCGGGAGUCUCCAUGCAUACCUCUCGGACCACAGUAUUCUCCAGGGGUAGGGGUCCUCUCACGAGUUCUCUUUGCCUGCAAUUCACAAGGUCAUUAGCGAAUAGGAAUUCAAAUGCAUGGAUCAUAAUCAUUCUGCAUUGAUAAAUAAUUUUACUCGAGGCAAUGAACAAAAUGUGCAUCAAAUUGGUCCUGACGGAAGGCGCGCUGAAGACAUCCAACACCAGCUACACUUACCACCGUAGCUCCAAGAAUGUAGUACCACGUACCACAGUAGCUACACGAAACACGAGGAGGUCUACGGUGGUGACGCAUAGCAGUGCAGCGUUGAGAGCCACGCUCUCACUCCAAGAACACCAGAAUGACUUCUGGUGCUCGGUCUGUCGGAGGUGACGCGUAGCAGUGCAGCCUUGAGAGCCGCGCUCUCACUCCAGGAUCACCAGAAUGGUUUGAGGUGCCCUGUCGGUCGGUGGUGACGCGUAGCAGUGCAGCCUUGAGAGCCGCGCUCUCACUCCAGGAUCACCAGAAUGGUUUGAGGUGCCCUGUCGGUCGGUGGUGACGCGUAGCAGUGCAGCCUUGAGAGCCGCGCUCUCACUCCAAGAUCACCAGCAUGACUUGAGGUGCCCUGUCGGUCGGUGGUGACGCGUAGCAGUGCAGCCUUGAGAGCCGCGCUCUCACUCCAAGAUCACCAGCAUGACUCGAGGUGCUUGGUCCGUCGGUGGUGACGCGUAGCAGUGCAGCGUUGAGAGCCGUGCUCUCACUCCAAGAUCACCAGCAUGACUCGAGGUGCUUGGUCCGUCGGUGGUGGCGCGUAGCAGUGCAGCGUUGAGAGCCACGCUCUCACUCCAAGAUCGCCAGGAUGACUUGAGGUGCUCGGUCGGUCGGUGGUAGCGCGUAACAGUGCAGCCUUGAGAGCGGCGCUCUCACUCCAAGAUCGCCAGAAUGAGGUGCUCGAUCGGUCGGCGUUGACGCGUAGCAGUGCACCGUUCCGAGCCAUGCUCUCACUCGAAGUCGGUGCAGACAGCGUAGUAUGAUCAUGAGGGUGAUGGCGAUGAUCACGAGCGUGAUGGCGAUGCUCGUGAGGGUGAUGGAGAUUCGAGAGGCAACAGAUUGUAAGGUUGAAGAAGAGGUUGUACAAACCAACAGGUGGGUGCAGCCAGCAUUUAGUUCAAUAAUUCUACACAGAACACUGACUAGAAUUAAUGCUAGCCCAGCAGUGUGGAAGCUGUAUGGUCGUGGAAAUCAGCACAAAAAAAGAAAGAAGCAAAGGAGCACAGAAACAAGAUGUACUUUUUCAUUUCCUGCACUGAAAAUGUUAACGACACCCCAAUAUAUAUACAUAUAUAUAGCAUAGCCAAUGCACCACAGCAAUGAACCCAGAUAAAUCAGUGUUUAUAGGAAUUACUCCUACUCUGGCUGAUUUUCAGGGACACUUAAAAGUUGAAACAAGAUGUUAGAUACAGAACUGGUCAGGGUUUUGAUAUGCACUACAAAACAAAAUGUCCAAGGUAUACUGUGUGGAAGACAUAAGAAAGGUCUGCAAUGGCCUCAUUAUGGUACUGAAAUCAAUAGUUAGUAACUUGUAAACUAUGUCCUCAUUAAGGAUGUGUGGCUUAUUUCCAGAUAAAGUUGACCAGAAAUUUGGCAGUAGAAAAGCUAAAAUGUAAGUCAGGAUCUCCAUGGGACUCAUAUUUUACUACCCCACAUCGGUCAAGGUUUUGAUAUGUAUAAAAGCUGUUAGAGAUCGAGAUAUAUUUUGUUGAAGACUAGAAAGCGACCGACAUAAAAGGAAGGUCAGUAAUGGUCUCAUUCUGGUGUUGAACUAUUGACUUCUUAACUUGUAAACUACGUCCUAGGAUGUGUGGCUUAUUCCCAGAUAAAGUUGGCCCAGAAAUUUGGGGGUAGGAGAGCUAAAGUGUAAGACAUGAUCGUUACAUAUAUGCUAUGACUGCCUGGUAACAAGAAGUAGCUUAAACGCAUAUGCAAAUGAAAGGAAGAAGAAGAAGAAGAUGGUUGUGUAACACAAGUUAGCAUCAAGGUUGUUACACGCAGACAAGUUUGUU
rnacentral:lncRNA from 1 species